rnacentral:rRNA from 1 species
CGCGGCCUAUCAGCUUGUUGGUGAGGUAAUGGCUCACCAAGGCAUCGACGGGUAGCUGGUCUGAGAGGACGAUCAGCCACACUGGGACUGAGACACGGCCCAAACUCCUACGGGAGGCAGCAGUAGGGAAUCUUGCGCAAUGGGGGCAACCCUGACGCAGCAACGCCGCGUGUGGGAUGACGGCUUUCGGGUUGUAAACCACUUUCAGUGAUGACGAAAAUGACGGUAAUCACAGAAGAAGGUCCGGCCAACUACGUGCCAGCAGCCGCGGUAACACGUAGGGACCGAGCGUUGUCCGGAUUUAUUGGGCGUAAAGAGCUCGUAGGCGGUUCUGUAAGUCGGAUGUGAAAACUCAGGGCUCAACCCUGAGACGCCAUCUGAUACUGCAGUGACUAGAGUCCGGUAGAGGAAGAUGGAAUUCCUGGUGUAGCGGUGGAAUGCGCAGAUAUCAGGAGGAACACCAAUGGCGAAGGCAGUCUUCUGGGCCGGUACUGACGCUGAGGAGCGAAAGCAUGGGGAGCAAACAGGAUUAGAUACCCUGGUAGUCCAUGCCGUAAACGUUGGGCACUAGGUGUGGGGUCUUCUAACGGAUUCCGUGCCGUAGCUAACGCAUUAAGUGCCCCGCCUGGGGAGUACGG